UCGAGCGGCAGCACGGGUAACUUCGGUUCCCUGGUGGCGAGCGGCGGACGGGUGAGUAACGCGUGGGAAUCUACCCUUCGGUGGAGGAUAGCCCGGGGAAACCCGGAUUAAUACUGCAUACUGCCCUACGGGGGAAAGCGGGCCUCUGCUGUAAGCUCGGCCGAGGCGAUGAGCCCGCGUCCGAUUAGCUGGUUGGUGGGGUAAAGGCC
rnacentral:rRNA from 1 species